UCCGGCCACUGUUAAAUCAUAAUAAAGGAUUUUUCCUUGACCAAAAAAAACAAAAUAAAGGAUUUUUCUUCCAUCAUGAGGAUGGAUCAUUAAAUUGCAGAGAAAUCCAGCCCUUCAUUGCCGGUGCUCUGAUUGACUUUACAAACGUAGAGAGAGUAGUACACGAAACCAUGCAGCCGCUCAAACCCUAAUUUUCAGUUUCUUUCUCUUUAGAGGUUCGUACGUAACCUCGACCUCAUAUCAGCCCCCUUUGAUUUAGUGUCCUCUUUUGUCAAAUUGAUUGACUGCUUUUAAUUUUUCUUUUAUUUAUCUAAAAUUAAUAAGAGAACGUUAGCAACCUUUUUAUUUCGAUUUUUUCAUUCUACUUUCUCUUCUUAUAUUGUUGUUAGAUAAUAAAAAAAUUUAUUUUCUAGAAAAAAAUUUAUGAUCAUUUUUACAAAAAUAGCUAAAUUCAAAAUUAUUUAGUUAUUCAUGAUUAUUCGAUAAAUAGACGAACUAUGUGUUUUUAAAAACCAAAACUUUAGUAACUUUACUCAAACAAUCAAACGAUUUAUGAUUUAAUUAAUUUGUGGAGAACUAAUCUUUAGAUGGUGAUAGACAAUACCAGUUCCUAACAUGUGUAUUUAAAAACAAUAAAUUAAAGAAAGAGCUGCGUACCUACUCAUUUCCAUGUGGGCUUUCGAGGUGGGACAAGAAGCAACAAUAUGAUAGCAAGCACAAAGGGAUAUACAACUCUACCAGCUUCGAAUGAACUCCAAUAGGCAUGCACAUGAAUGACUAUGAGAGAGAGAGCGAUCUAGAGAGACAGAGGGAGAGAGGGAGGGAGAGAGAGUGCAUGUAAUUGCAUGGUUGGUAGUGGUUGGUAGAGAGGUGACGUUGGAAAGGCCAACUACCUGUGCUUCCCUUUCGAAUUCAUCAAAUCGUUGGGGGUUUCUGGGGCCACUUCCCAUUUGUGCCAGCUUUUGGCUCUUUCUGUCCAUUUUACUUCCUAAAUACUAAGUGCGGGGCCUCUGUCUUCUGAAAAGACAGGGAUAAAGCCGCGUCACCUGCACCUAAAUCUUGUGGCAUUUGGCUUCAAGACAUAGGACCGUGACACAACCUAUAUGUAAUAUAUGCCAACUGUUAUCGGCAUGGCAAAUAACAGACAUUUGGGGCCGACUCAAUGGAUAUUUUAAUCAUUUUACUGUUUAACCACAGGGUAGGAUUUGACGAUUAUAUUUACUGAAAAUAUAACUUUAGCUCUUAAAACUUAAUUUUCUCUAUAUAAAAUCCGACAUAGGUUUUUUACUUGAAUAAAACCCAUUAACUAGAUUCCACAUCAACAAAUUCAUUAAUUAUAUUUGACUUCACAAAUUAAAAAUUCCGAAUGCCUAAAAUACCCCUAUUUGAUUUUUUUUUUAUUGAUAAACCUUAUUUAGAAGUUUGAUGUACAUAAUUAAUGUCAUGCAGAUUGUAAGGAAGAAUUAAUGAUUUUACAAAAAGAAAAACAAACCACUAACGUUAUAAAUUCAUUGCCUAAUAUAUAAUAACAUAAAACAUGUCUAAUAUAUGUUAUUAUACAAGCUUAAUUAAGUCAAUAAAAUUAUAUUUUACAUAUUAAUGUAGAUAAAUUAUUUCACAUACACAUAUAUACAUUAAUAUAUGUAAAAUAUAAUAACUUAUUGACUUAAUUUACCCAAGAUAUGUAAAAUAUGUAUAUAUGUGUAUGUGAAAUAAUUUUUCAUAUAUACAUAUAUAAAUUACAUGUAUAUAUGAAAUAAUUUACCCAAAAUAUGUAUAUAUGUGUAUCUAAUAUAUGAUAAAUUAUUUUUCAUAUAUACAUAUGUAAAAUACAUGAAAAAUAAUUUACCUACAUAAUAACAAACCCAAUAUUGCAAAAUACAACCAAAAUAAUUUAAUAAAAUGUGUCAAAUAUACACACACACACACACACACACACAUAUAUAUAUAUAUAUGAUAUUGAUACAUACAAAAUAAAAUACCUACAUAACAAAAGAAUGCUAUUUGAUUCAAAAUUAAUUUACUUACAAAAUAAAGCAAGGUUAUUUGAUUCGAAGUUAAUUUACCUAUUAUUUGAACAUAUCUUAUAAUAAUAAAAUGUGUCAAAUAUAUGUAAUAAUAUAUGAACAAUAAGUUACCUACAAAAAUAAAAGAAUGUUAUUUGAUUCAUUAUUAAUUUACCUACAAAAUAUAUAUUAUUUGCUAAUCAUAAAUUUACAUAUAUAGGUAAGACAUAUGGUCGUACUUAUUGGUAAAUUAUAUAUAUAUUGAACUUAUAGUAGUACUAUAUACUUUUCACGUAUGUGUGUCUAUAUAUAUAUAUAUGUAUGUGUAUAUAUAUGUGUGUGUAUGUAUAUAUAUAUAUGUAUGUAUGUAUAUGUUAGGGGUAAUAGUAUGUGCAAUAAUUAUUUGUUCAUUAUAAUUAAGGUGAGUAAUAACAUUUAUUGAUUUGAUUUGAAUAUUGUGGCACAAGUUGUAAAUAUUUUGUAAUAAUAGGUCAAUUACUUUUUUACUUGGUAAUUUUUUCAAAUUUGGGUUUUAUUUGGAUGUUUAGAAUUAGGUGGGUUUUUAUCUAGAGAAUAAGAGUUGCAAGGGUCUAUAUCUAAAGAACCCUUAUAUUUAUUAAUAGUAGGAUAGAGAAUGCUAAAUUGUAACACAUUCAAGAGAUCAAUGAGAUUAUGAAAGAUUAGGCAAGUCAAACUACACAUAAAAGUUUGAUCGUCGGAUUAUGUUUGUAGUCUUAUUCUUCUUUUGUUUGAUACGGGUGGAAAGAAUCAAGAUCUCCAAAGUAAGGUCGUCAAACUAUGUACUUGAACAGUGUCAACUUUCUAAUAACUAUAGACGUGUAUGUAACAUUUUUAUCUUUUGAACAUUGCAACUUAGGUACAUAAAUUUAGCUUUCGUAGCAUCUCUGUGUUUUAAACAAUAUGAGCAGUUGAACAUUGCCAAUCUUCUGAUAACUAUGAACUAAUGUACAUAAAUCUAACUUUCAUAGUAUCUCUAUCUUUUAAGCAAUGAGUAGUUGAGCACUGCCAAGCUUUUGAUAAUUAUGAGUCCACCUUCUAUAACAUCUGUUUUCAUUAUGUAUGUAUUUUCAAAAAAAUUUAAACACACAACAUCGCACAGACACUUAUAACUUGUAAUACAAGAAAGAUCAACACCAG
rnacentral:lncRNA from 1 species